UUUUUUUUUUUUUUUUUUUUUUUGCAUACGUAGUAAUUGCUGGCGAUCUGCAUUUUUUCCUCUAUGCUUCUGGAUAAUUUUAUGUGCUUUAAUUUCAUGAACUUUAUUUAUUCCUUUCUCAAUAAUAUUGUACAGCUGCCCAGAGUCUGUGGCCUGCUGCACUGGCAUUUUCACUGAAGACUUAUUACUUCUGCAGACAUCUUCAAGGGAGUGAAUUUAAGGAAAUGAGUAGCUAUGCUUUUAUGAAAGCAAAUGCAUAAAAAGGCUGUAUACUACUUUAUAAAGUGUUCAGGGGUUGUGUUGGUUUUUUUUUUUUUUUAAUAUAAAUUAUUCAGUUACAAUGAUGAUGCUACUUUGGAUAUAAACACGUUUCCAGUCCCAGAAUGGGCAUAAACUACUUGCUCUGAAUAGCAAACAUCAAAGAAAACAACCGAGCUGAAAACCAGUGACGCACCAUUUCUGUUUUUUCAGCUCUAGUGGUUUUGGAAAAGAAACAUCUUCCUACGAGUGAUAGUAUGAAAUCUUCCUGUUCCUCCUACUUGUCUUGUUUCUCCAUGAGGUCUCUAAACUAACUUCAAGUAUUUGAAGAACUUGCUACGUUUUUCCCUAUAAUCUUCCAAAAAAACAUCUUCCUUUUGUCUGUUAUUCAUGUAACUAGCAAUGCUUCAGGAAUUCACAGCGAUCGUUUAAAUGUGAGUAUUAUCAAUACCAGCACUACCCUUUGGAUAAUGCCUUCCUAUACAUCUCCUGUUAUGAUUCAUACCUAUAUGGUACAAUUGAGCUCCUGGUAACUUCUUCCUGAAGUUCUGGAGUUUACAUUUAUUUCUGUCACUUCAGAAUCUUCUUUGUAAAGAUGAACAUCUUUUAAUAUCUUUUGCCUGGGUGCAAAGGGUGACGCUUUGCUUUUUGCAAAAAUCUCCUUUGCAAAACACACACUGAGUAUAUUAAGGUCCUGAUGUGAUAGAGCACUGGGGGGAGAAAUCUUCAAACAUUGCUUAUUCUCCUCCAUAAAGUGGAAAAUUCUAAAUGAUAUUGUUGAUUAGAUGCAACAUAUUGGAAAAGGUCUUGCUAGCUCUCCUGAGCAUGUCUGUUUGACUUCUAAAUUCACAGCACUAAAAUGUUGUCAUCCCCUUUCCUUUCACUCCCCACUUAAUCCUUAAGCAUUUUCACCUUAAUCCAGAAGUUUUCAAGUGCUCUGACAAACCAGCUAAAUGUAAAGAAAUAGCUGCUUCUCCUAGCUUUUUUCCCUGUCAAUCAUUUAAAACCCAGUGGAAUGUGUGAUGAGGAUGACUCAGUUUGUAGAAAAGAAGCAACUUAGCAGUUGGCUAAUGUUGUGCAAGUUGCUCAGUUUAGACAGAUGGAAUACUUGCAUUUCAUAUCUCAGCACCAUCCCUGAUUAUUGUUUUUUAGUAGUCCCAGGUACUAACUAUCUCAGCAUGGGAAGAGAUUGGUGGCGGUCUGGCGUUCGCAGCUUACUUGUGAUUCUGUAAGAUUUUCUUAUUAUAUUCAAUAGUUCUGUCAGACAGGUGUUAGAGGGAUGCAGUUGUACUUUGGGGAAUAGCAGGUAAAUUUAUGCAUCUUUAAAGAACUGGCAGAUUCAGCUGCCUAUAUAUGAUUUAAGGUCCUGAUCCCAAACCCAUUAAACUUAAUGGGAGUUUUUCAUUGACUUAGUUGGCUUUGGAUUAGCUCCUAAGUGAAUUUCCAGUAGAAGGCAAAAACCCAGCCAACAAACCUGUCGAUUUCUUGGCACACUUGUCUCCUUUUAGAGAGCAGUGGCUCAGCCAAAUCUUGCAGAGCUGCCUAGUGAAAUUAUUCUGACAAGCACAACUUUUAUCUGCAGACACUUUUACUCCCUCACCAGGAUCCUCCAGAAUCAUGGGUAUAAGGUUGAAGGAGUAUAUUGCAGGAUUUCCCCCGAAGAAAUUUUGAUAAAAAUGGAAAAUUGAAAUGUAGGCUUUAUCUAAAAAGGAAUCAUCUAUUGUCUUAGAAUAGGGAAUUGCUGCACCGCAUUGAAUCUAAAGCCCAUAUUGCCCUACUGUAGUCCCUGUGAAUUCAGCAAAUAACAGAUAGCUGGGAAACAAUGUACAGAUUUUUUCUAAAAUACUUUGCUGUUCUUCAGUGACUCAGAAACUUCCUGAACAAGAGAAGAGCUCUAUGCAUUGAAUAGCUCUCAAUGUGAUUUUCUUCCAUGAAUUUCCCCAUAGAUUGUUUUUGAAAGUAUUUGACCACCCCUAUGUCUUGUGGCAAGAAGUUUUACAAGUUGCCUUUGUGCUGCAAAAAGAGAAGUCUUGUUCAUUUUUAAUAUACCCCUUGCUAGUUUAAUUUGAUGACUUUUAAGUCUUAGAUUACUAGAGACAGUGAGCGCUCAUUAUCUGUUUGCCAUUUCCAGGCUAGCCAGAAUGUUAAAGACCUGUAUCUGACCUCCUCCUCCCCCUCCUAGGUUGUUCUUUUUCAAGAUAAAAAGCUCCGAUCUGUUUAGCUUAACUCAGACAAUAUAAUGUAACUUUUCCUAACCUCAAAUAAUUAUGGACCUGCAAUUAAAUUCUGUGGCCAACUUGGAUUCAAUCAAUACAUUAGGCUUACUGGACAUGAUGAUUUUUGUUCUGACUUUUUUUUUUUUAAUAUGGAAAUUAAUCUGAGUCAACCUUCUACUUGAGAUAUGGCAGAGGAAAAUACAGGGGGAAAAAAAAUCCCUAUUUUGAGGAUUCCAACCAGCACAUUAGUUAAUAAUGAGGGACAUAUUAGUAUUCUUGAAGUUCCUAUAGUCUGUAUGCUUCAUACAGAGCUGUAAAAUAAAACAGCCAUACCCAUUAAUAUGCUAAUGUUAUAUGCUAUGACCAUGAUGCUCUCUCUCUGAGGAUCUCCACUGUUGUCCUGUCUCUUUCCACAUCACAUUAACACUCCCUGGGUGAAAUCCUGACCCUAAUGAAGUCAAUGGUAAAACUCCCAUUGACUUCACUGGAGUCAGGAUUAUCUCCUCCAAGGAGCUUUAUGGCUUUAGUUCUGACUAUUUUUCAGUUUCCACAUUCCACUGCAUCCCCUGCUUGCUCUUCCUCUUUGCUGAUGAACGCUCACCCUCACGCUCUUAUUUAUUCUCAUCAUGCACUCCUAAUUCUUGAAAUGAGUCUACCAGCGAGGAAAAGUCCUACUCUGUUAUGCCCGUCCACUGACUCAGUCCUCCUGUCGUCAGAUCCUGCUUUAAUUUUGUAUGACUAACUGCUAGCUACUGCUCAGGCAUUCUCUCCUUUUCCUACAUCUGAUCACGGUGUAGGAUAUACUAAAACUACAAGAAUGGGUGGAAAUUGCCUGCCUGCCUCCUCAAAUUACUUCAGUCAAGGUUUUCAUAUGCACAUCGUUAGGAAAGCGCUUCCAAGGCAUUUUCUCUCUCUCAAUUUUCCACCUUGGAUUCAGUAUUUGCAUUCAUUAGACCUGUAAUAUUAAUUCCUUACAGUCCCGCCUUGUAUUUUUAAUUUCAUUUUAUUGGAGUUAUGCACAGUUAUAGAAAAAUAAAUUGCCCUAGAAUUAGCAUGUUGAGCAGGCUGAGGAGUAUUUAGAAAUGAACAGAAAAUAAUGCUUUGUAGAUAAUUUAUCAUGCAGGCAAGAAGAAAGUGUUUGCCUGACUAAGGGCUUCAGACCCUCCAUGAAUAUAUAGUGUAAUCAGUAAAGUAAGGAGUUUGCAUGAUCAAGUGCUAACCAGAAAAAGGUCACAACACAAGGUUCACUUAAAUCAAUAGAAUUGUCUUGGAUAGAGGCGUAAGAAAGGAUUCCAAGAUUUGACCCAUUGCGUUGUACUGC
rnacentral:lncRNA from 1 species